UUGUAGUUAAUAUUUGUCUAUUCAUCCCGUAAUGUAAUCGGACUGUAAGCUUAAAUAAGUAUGGUCGUGUAUGAUAAUCGCUUCAAGUUCUAUAAGUACAAUAUAUAAUGUUACAAAUUUGUAUGCUAGGCCAGUGGGCCUUUUAUUUUUAUUCCUUCACUAUAAAAAAAGACUUUUAGAUAAAACAAAUUUGUCAUGCCAUUUUUGCAAUAUAUUGGAUCACGGGUUUUGUAGUAUUUGUUUUCCGUUAAACGGACGCCAAUCAUAAAACGAAGGUGCAAAAUUUUUAUUUUACAUUCACAGAUUUGCAUUUUUUCUCUACAUCUAACAGUCGUUUAUAAAGCACCUAUAUGAUACAGGGUGCGGCACGAAAACUUGCUGAUUUGUUUUUGGCGCUAAGCGGCGGGGAGUGGUUGGUCAGUGGACAUCAUGCAUUGGACGAAAGAGCAGCGCGCAUUUGCCUGCGAGGCUUACUUUUCCAACGGUCGUUCCGUAAUUGCCACUCAACUCAACAUUCAUCCUGUAGGUCGCGUUCCUGGCCGGCAGUCGAUUGUUUCGUGGGUGAAAACAUUCAGGGAGAGCGGAAAUGUGACAAAAUCCCAUCCAGCUCAUCGGAGAAUAACAUUCGGCAAGCAAUCGCAAAGAUACCCGUCGAUAUGCUUGAGAGAGUUCAGCUGAGCUUCGAAAAUAGGGUAUCUCAGUGCAUUGAAAACGGCGGCCAUCACUUAUUCGAUGUAAUCUUCAAAACUGUGUAAUAAAAACUUCAG